rnacentral:rRNA from 1 species
GCAUAAUCAGUAGUCUUUUAAUUGAAGGCUCGUAUGAAUGGUUGGAUGAAAUAUAAACUGUUUCAUAAAAAUUUAUAGUAGAAUUUUAUUUUUUAGUUAAAAAGCUAAAAUAAGUUUAAAAGACGAGAAGACCCUAUAAAUCUUUAUACUUUUAUUAUUUUAAUUAUUAGGAUUAAUUUAAUUAUUAUGGUUAAAAGUAUUUUAUUGGGGUGAUAUUAAAAUUUAAUAAACUUUUAAUUUGUUUAUACAUUGAUUUAUGAAUUUAUGAUCCAUUAUUAGUGAUUAAAAAUUUAAGUUACUUUAGGGAUAACAGCGUAAUUUUUUUGGAGAGUUCAUAUUGAUAAAAAAGAUUGCGACCUCGAUGUUGGAUUAA